UACAGAGGGUGCGAGCGUUAAUCGGAAUUACUGGGCGUAAAGCGUGCGUAGACGGUUAUUUAAGUCGGGUGUGAAAGCCCCGGGCUCAACCUGGGAAUUGCAUUCGAGACUGAAUAGCUAGGGUACGGUAGAGGGAAGUGGAAUUUCCGGUGUAGCGGUGAAAUGCGCAGAUAUCGGGAGGAACACCAGUAGCGAAGGCGGCACUCUGGGCCGUGACUGACGCUGAGGAGCGAAAGCGUGGGUAGCAAACAGG
rnacentral:rRNA from 1 species